GAAAAGAGUUAAAUGCAAGGAUAUACUCUGAAAUUUCAACAUUCAAAUGUACUUCUUCAUAGUAUCUUAUGGUGUUCAUUCCGUGACUCGUUUGUCUUCACUUUUGAAGUAGGCACCUGGCAACAAUGCUGUGAUAGUGGUUAUGUCAUGAAGCCUUUACGUGAAGAUUUUGCCAAGAGGUAGAGGGGUGCAUUUCCUAUGAUCCUACUCCAAAUGCUCUGAUAUUUGCGCUUCUCUCAUUUGAGACUCCUCUAUCAUCGCAAACAAGUAGUUGAUGUAGUUCUCCAUAAAGCAAUAGAUGAAUAUUUCCAUCGAUGGGAAGCAAUUCAGAAUCUCCAACAGAAUCACAUACACCUCAGGCAUGCAGGAGCUGCAAAGUAUAGGUUUUGGCAGAUUAGUCUGGGUGGUUCAUUGGAGUUCCAAGAGAAUUGUCUCUCAGGGGCUGAGGUGGGGUCAGGAGAGUUUGGGCAGUGAUAAAGUGUGGAGUGUCUGAAUUCAGUUGGGGCUUGUAGCCGGGUUUUAUUGUUUAGGAGUUGGCUUUUCUUGCCGUUUAGCCUGGUUCGAAAAUGCCCUUCCUU